UUAAUACAUGCAAGGCGAAGGGGCAGCAAUGUCACUGUCGUACGGGUGCGUAACGCGUAUGCAACCUACCUAUCACUGGGGGAUAGCCCGGGGAAACCCGGAUUAAUACCGCAUAAAACAGGGGCACCGCAUGGUGAUAUUUGUUAAAGAUUUAUUGGUGAUAGAUGGGCAUGCGUUCGAUUAGCUAGUUGGCGGGGUAACGGCCCACCAAGGCGACGAUCGAUAGGGGAGCUGAGAGGUUGAUCCCCCACACGGGCACUGAGAUACGGGCCCGACUCCUACGGGAGGCAGCAGUAGGGAAUAUUGGGCAAUGGAUGCAAGUCUGACCCAGCCAUGCCGCGUGCCGGAUGAAGGCCCUCAGGGUUGUAAACGGCUUUUAUUCGGGAAGAAGAGCAGGGAUGCGUCCUUGUGUGACGGUACCGAAUGAAUAAGCACCGGCUAACUCCGUGCCAGCAGCCGCGGUAAUACGGAGGGUGCGAGCGUUGUCCGGAUUUAUUGGGUUUAAAGGGUGCGUAGGUGGCUGUUUAAGUCAGUGGUGAAAUACGGUUGCUCAACAAUCGAGGUGCCAUUGAUACUGAAGAGCUUGAAAUAAUUGGAGGCUGCCGGAAUGGAUGGUGUAGCGGUGAAAUGCAUAGAUAUCAUCCAGAACACCGAUUGCGAAGGCAGGUGGCUACGAUUUGUUUGACACUGAGGCACGAAAGCAUGGGGAGCAAACAGGAUUAGAUACCCUGGUAGUCCAUGCUGUAAACGAUGAGGACUCGUUG
rnacentral:rRNA from 1 species